rnacentral:rRNA from 1 species
CAACUUUCAGCAACGGAUCUCUUGGCUCUCGCAUCGAUGAAGAACGCAGCGAAAUGCGAUAAGUAGUGUGAAUUGCAGAAUUCAGUGAAUCAUCGAAUCUUUGAACGCACCUUGCGCCCUUUGGCUAUUCCGAAGGGCAUGCCUGUUUGAGUAUCAUG